GAAGUUGUCGUCCUCGGCGGACAGCAGGGCCUGGAUGAAAUGAGGCGGGAUGUCGGAAAACUUGAUCGGAGACCGGCGCAUCUCGCCAAAUUCUGCUAUCAAUUUGCCGUCGCUGCUGUAAACCCGAAGAGGAAUUUGCAACUGAACGCUUUUCAGAGCCUCCACGGACGGCAGGCCGGGGCUAAGAUACAGAUAUGCGCCGCUCAGGCCGAGCAGAAGCCCGCAUACCACGGCGAGGAAGGUCCAGCAGAAAAACUUGAGCAGGCGGAUCAAGGCUUUCGGAUUUCCAU
rnacentral:antisense_RNA from 1 species